CCCUAGCGCAAGAAGAAGCUGCCUUUCCCCCCCGAACCUAAGCGAGAGAAAUCCGAGCGAGCCCCUCCUCCUCCCCGGCGAAUCCCUCCUCCCUGAGUAUCCAAAGCGCGAAAUGUCGAAGGUUUCGUCUCCCGGUGGCGGCGCCCUCACCCUGGGCACCAAGCGCCCUCCCGGCGCACCCGGACUCGGCAGGGGCCGAGAGUUCCUCAUCCUCAUCGCAGGGGCCCUUGCCGUGUUCGUCAUCCUGUACGGACUCGGCUGCUUCAGGAACGGCCGCCGCCGCCGCAGAGCACCCCAUUAUGGCAGGAGGUUUGGCCGUGGCAGCCAGUGAAGACUUAUCAGGUCUGCGUGAUCCUGAGUUUUGAAGGAAGACUUUUACUAUUUUGGAAGAGUCAAGUAAUGAUAGAGGUGGUCAUUUUGUGGAUGCAGUGGUGUAAUCCAACGGUUGAGAUGCAAUGAUUAAUUAACUUGUCCUAAAAACAAUUAAGCAACUUGUAUGAGAAUUAUGGGACGCGUGGCUCCUCUGGGGACUAUAUAACCAGGGAGAGUGGGAGGAUGGGUGGCACGCAACCAAAAACCCUAUUUUCUUUGUCUUGUCUA